rnacentral:rRNA from 1 species
GACGAACGCUGGCGGCGUGCCUAAUACAUGCAAGUAGAACGCUGAAGAGAGGAGCUUGCUCUUCUUGGAUGAGUUGCGAACGGGUGAGUAACGCGUAGGUAACCUGCCUUGUAGCGGGGGAUAACUAUUGGAAACGAUAGCUAAUACCGCAUAACAAUGGAUGACACAUGUCAUUUAUUUGAAAGGGGCAAUUGCUCCACUACAAGAUGGACCUGCGUUGUAUUAGCUAGUAGGUGAGGUAACGGCUCACCUAGGCGACGAUACAUAGCCGACCUGAGAGGGUGAUCGGCCACACUGGGACUGAGACACGGCCCAGACUCCUACGGGAGGCAGCAGUAGGGAAUCUUCGGCAAUGGGGGCAACCCUGACCGAGCAACGCCGCGUGAGUGAAGAAGGUUUUCGGAUCGUAAAGCUCUGUUGUAAGUCAAGAACGGGUGUGAGAGUGGAAAGUUCACACUGUGACGGUAGCUUACCAGAAAGGGACGGCUAACUACGUG